GGGUUGUGAGGUUAAGCGACUAAGCGUACACGGUGGAUGCCCUGGCAGUCAGAGGCGAUGAAGGACGUGCUAAUCUGCGAUAAGCGCCGGUAAGGUGAUAUGAACCGUUAUAACCGGCGAUUUCCGAAUGGGGAAACCCAGUGUGAUUCGUCACACUAUCAUUAACUGAAUCCAUAGGUUAAUGAGGCGAACCGGGGGAACUGAAACAUCUAAGUACCCCGAGGAAAAGAAAUCAACCGAGAUUCCCCCAGUAGCGGCGAGCGAACGGGGAGGAGCCCAGAGCCUGAAUCAGCAUGUGUGUUAGUGGAAGCGUCUGGAAAGGCGCGCGAUACAGGGUGACAGCCCCGUACACAAAAGCGCAUGUGCUGUGAGCUCGAUGAGUAGGGCGGGACACGUGGUAUCCUGUCUGAAUAUGGGGGGACCAUCCUCCAAGGCUAAAUACUCCUGACUGAUCGAUAGUGAACCAGUACCGUGAGGGAAAGGCGAAAAGAACCCCGGCGAGGGGAGUGAAAAAGAACCUGAAACCGUGUACGUACAAGCAGUGGGAGCACAGGUUUACCUGUGUGACUGCGUACCUUUUGUAUAAUGGGUCAGCGACUUAUAUUCUGUAGCAAGGUUAACCGAAUAGGGGAGCCGGAGGGAAACCGAGUCUUAAUUGGGCGUUAAGUUGCAGGGUAUAGACCCGAAACCCGGUGAUCUAGCCAUGGGCAGGUUGAAGGUUGGGUAACACUAACUGGAGGACCGAACCGACUAAUGUUGAAAAAUUAGCGGAUGACCUGUGGCUGGGGGUGAAAGGCCAAUCAAACCGGGAGAUAGCUGGUUCUCCCCGAAAGCUAUUUAGGUAGCGCCUCGUGAAUUCAUCUCCGGGGGUAGAGCACUGUUUCGGCUAGGGGGCCAUCCCGGCUUACCAACCCGAUGCAAACUGCGAAUACCGGAGAAUGUUAUCACGGGAGACACACGGCGGGUGCUAACGUCCGUCGUGAAGAGGGAAACAACCCAGACCGCCAGCUAAGGUCCCAAAGUCAUGGUUAAGUGGGAAACGAUGUGGGAAGGCCCAGACAGCCAGGAUGUUGGCUUAGAAGCAGCCAUCAUUUAAAGAAAGCGUAAUAGCUCACUGGUCGAGUCGGCCUGCGCGGAAGAUGUAACGGGGCUAAACCAUGCACCGAAGCUGCGGCAGCGACACUGUGUGUUGUUGGGUAGGGGAGCGUUCUGUAAGCCUGUGAAGGUGUGUCGUGAGGCAUGCUGGAGGUAUCAGAAGUGCGAAUGCUGACAUAAGUAACGAUAAAGCGGGUGAAAAGCCCGCUCGCCGGAAGACCAAGGGUUCCUGUCCAACGUUAAUCGGGGCAGGGUGAGUCGACCCCUAAGGCGAGGCCGAAAGGCGUAGUCGAUGGGAAACGGGUUAAUAUUCCCGUACUUGGUGUUACUGCGAAGGGGGGACGGAGAAGGCUAUGUUGGCCGGGCGACGGUUGUCCCGGUUUAAGCGUGUAGGUGUGUGUUCCAGGUAAAUCCGGUUCACUUUAACACUGAGGCGUGACGACGAGGCACUACGGUGCUGAAGCAACAAAUGCCCUGCUUCCAGGAAAAGCCUCUAAGCAUCAGGUAACAUCAAAUCGUACCCCAAACCGACACAGGUGGUCAGGUAGAGAAUACCAAGGCGCUUGAGAGAACUCGGGUGAAGGAACUAGGCAAAAUGGUGCCGUAACUUCGGGAGAAGGCACGCUGACACGUAGGUGAAGUGAUUUACUCAUGGAGCUGAAGUCAGUCGAAGAUACCAGCUGGCUGCAACUGUUUAUUAAAAACACAGCACUGUGCAAACACGAAAGUGGACGUAUACGGUGUGACGCCUGCCCGGUGCCGGAAGGUUAAUUGAUGGGGUCAGCGCAAGCGAAGCUCCUGAUCGAAGCCCCGGUAAACGGCGGCCGUAACUAUAACGGUCCUAAGGUAGCGAAAUUCCUUGUCGGGUAAGUUCCGACCUGCACGAAUGGCGUAAUGAUGGCCAGGCUGUCUCCACCCGAGACUCAGUGAAAUUGAACUCGCUGUGAAGAUGCAGUGUACCCGCGGCAAGACGGAAAGACCCCGUGAACCUUUACUAUAGCUUGACACUGAACAUUGAGCCUUGAUGUGUAGGAUAGGUGGGAGGCUUUGAAGUGUGGACGCCAGUCUGCAUGGAGCCGACCUUGAAAUACCACCCUUUAAUGUUUGAUGUUCUAACGUGGACCCGUUACCCGGGUUGCGGACAGUGUCUGGUGGGUAGUUUGACUGGGGCGGUCUCCUCCUAAAGAGUAACGGAGGAGCACGAAGGUUGGCUAAUCCUGGUCGGACAUCAGGAGGUUAGUGCAAUGGCAUAAGCCAGCUUGACUGCGAGCGUGACGGCGCGAGCAGGUGCGAAAGCAGGUCAUAGUGAUCCGGUGGUUCUGAAUGGAAGGGCCAUCGCUCAACGGAUAAAAGGUACUCCGGGGAUAACAGGCUGAUACCGCCCAAGAGUUCAUAUCGACGGCGGUGUUUGGCACCUCGAUGUCGGCUCAUCACAUCCUGGGGCUGAAGUAGGUCCCAAGGGUAUGGCUGUUCGCCAUUUAAAGUGGUACGCGAGCUGGGUUUAGAACGUCGUGAGACAGUUCGGUCCCUAUCUGCCGUGGGCGCUGGAGAACUGAGGGGGGCUGCUCCUAGUACGAGAGGACCGGAGUGGACGCAUCACUGGUGUUCGGGUUGUCAUGCCAAUGGCACUGCCCGGUAGCUAAAUGCGGAAGAGAUAAGUGCUGAAAGCAUCUAAGCACGAAACUUGCCCCGAGAUGAGUUCUCCCUGAGACUUUAAGUCUCCUGAAGGAACGUUGAAGACGACGACGUUGAUAGGCCGGGUGUGUAAGCGCAGCGAUGCGUUGAGCUAACCGGUACUAAUGAACCGUGAGGCUUAACCUUACAACGCCGAAG
rnacentral:rRNA from 2 species